rnacentral:rRNA from 1 species
GACGAACGCUGGCGGCGUGCUUAACACAUGCAAGUCGAACGGUAAGGCCCUGCCUUUGUGGGGUGCUCGAGUGGCGAACGGGUGAGUAACACGUGAGUAACCUGCCCUGGACUUUGGGAUAACUACUGGAAACUGGAGCUAAUACCGGAUAGGAGCUCCUGCUGCAUGGUGGGUGUUGAAAAGUUUCGGCGGUUGGAGAUGUACUCGCGGCUUCUCAGCUUGUAGGUGGGGUAGUGGCUUACCAAGGCUUAGACGAGUAGCCGGCCUGAGAGUGUGACCGGCCACAGUGGGACUGAGAUGCGAGCCAGACUCCUACGGGAGGCAGCAGUGGGGAAUAUUGCACAAUGGGCGGAAGCCUUAAGCAGCAACGCCGCGUGCUGGAGGACUGCCGUCGGGUAGGAAACCGCGUGCGCCUGUGAAGAAGAGUGAGUGACGGUAAUGUGUAAAGAAGCACCGGCUAACUACGUG